UGUUAUGUGGCUUAGUUGAUCAAAGCGCCGGACUAGGGAUACGGAGUCGUAGGAUCGUAUCCCAGCAAAACAA
rnacentral:tRNA from 1 species